AAACUCGGACGAACGAAGACGAAUGUGUUUCAUCUGUUUUGGACCGUUCUGAAACUUUUAAUUGAAUUAUAUUGAACACGAAAAGCGUACAAAUCGUCCGCAUUGUUUUGCAGAAAAAUUCGACUCGCAGCCAUCGACGACAGGAAUUUUCGUAAUAAAAAUCCCGCAAACUAAAAGAUUCGAGUUCUUGUGCCUUUGCAAAUUUUAGUGAUUAAACUGACGCUAAUUUGUUGAAAAACUUUAACCGCAAAGUGUCCGCAAAUAGAAAUUGAAAACUGUGCAAAAUGUCGGAAGUUGAAACUGCCGUUAAUCCCGCCACCACAAGCGCCGAGACGGAGCAGGAGCCGGAAAAGACCGUCACCCAAACGGUGGACGAGGAUGAGGAUAUGAAGGAGGAGGUCUCCGCCGAAACGGAGAAAAUGAUUACCGAAACGGUUGACGAGGACGGCGACGUGGUCGAGGAGACCACCGAGGUUACGCGUAAAACCAUUAAGCGCACCAUGAAAAUUACUGAGACUUCAUCGACAACCAAGACCACCACUCUCACUACGCCUGCCAAAUUGUACGGCAAGGAUUUGAGCGAGUAUGAUGAGGUUGACGUUGAUGCUCUGCUGGCGCAAUUGUCACCGGAAGAAAUCAAUAUUUUGGCCAAAGAAGUCGAUCCCGAUGACAAUUUCCUGCCACCCGAUCAACGUUGCAGUUAUGAAUGCGCCAAAGAUCCCACUGGUCCGUUGAAUCGCAAAAAGCUUAUCGAGCAUAUUAAUAAGCAGGCCUUAGAAACACCCGAUGAGCCCGAAUUUGAGCCGUACGUUAAGGGUACAGUACGUGGCAAGAAAUGGGUGCCACCGCCAAGAGAUGAAAGCGAAGUUGCCGCUGAGGAACAGAUCGCCAUCGAUUUGGGUGAAGAGUAUGAGCAUGCGCUGAGCGACGCUACACAAGAAGAAAUUAUCGAUCUGGCUGCUAUUCUUGGCUUCCACUCGAUGAUGAAUCAGGACCAAUAUCAUGCUUCUUUGUUGAACAAAGGUCAGCCAGUUGGCAUGGGAUGGGAUGGUAUUACAAAGUCAACUCAACCAAAAUUGUUCCCCAUGGACCCACCAAAUAACACAGAUGUCGAAGAAUCAAUUAAACGCGUAAAAGAUAACGAUUCAAAAUUGAUUGAACUGAACUUAAAUAACAUUAAGAACAUUUCCGAUGAGAAAUUGGAACAACUUUUCCAAGUACUGCCUGAAAAUGAAAAUUUGGAAGUUCUUUCCUUAACAAAUGUCGGCCUUACCGACAAGACAGCUCUCUUAUUGGCUGAAGCAAUUGAGAAAAGCAAAACCUUGAGAGUAUUAAAUGUUGAGACGAAUUUCAUUAGUCCGCCUGUUAUUGUGACCUUAGUGAAAGCCCUGCUCAAGUGCCGCACAAUUGAAGAGUUCAGGGCCUCCAAUCAACGAUCCUCAGUGCUCGGUAACAAGAUCGAAAUGGAAAUAACCGAAUUAGUGGAAAAGAAUCCAUCAUUGCUCAGAUUGGGUCUGCAUUUGGAGUUCAAUGACGCACGCCACAGAGUUGCCGCACAUUUGCAGCGCAACAUCGACAGAAUAAGAAAAGAUCUUGAGUUACGUCUGCAGUUCAGAUUUUUCAAUAAUCUGCACAGAAAGUCAACAAGAAUUCAAUAAAAUAAUGAAUGAUCUUAAUAAAGAUAUAUUUAUAUGUAUAAUGAUUGAAGUAAAAGAAAAUAAACACAAAAAAAACUAUUUACUAAAUAUAUAACGCACUCGUAAGUUAAGACAAAUAAGUACCGCGUUUGAUGCAAGCAAAUGAUAGCGAAAAGAAGACGUGCAAACGCCGCAAGGAUAACCAGCCUAUAUAUUUAUAUAUAUAUAUACCUAGAAAGAGUAAGAGAAAAGCUAAUUCGUCAUUAAAAGAUGCUGCCGACUAUAUCAGACCAUAAUAGCGCGGCUAGCGAGUUAACUUCUGCACAUAAACGCUUAAUUUAGACUUUAGCGCACUUUUGCACACACAAAAAGGGCGCGAAUUUAACAAAGGAUAUGGCGAAAAACUCCCCAAAUCGAAUAUAAAUUAAAAAUUAAACUAACCUCGUUGAAAAUCAUAAAAAGAAUGAACAACAAAAAUUCUGAGAAAAGGAAAAAGUCAAAAAUUACAGUGCACAGUGUCUGCAAAACAACGUGAAACACACAAAAGCACACAAACACUAAAUAUAGACAAAAACUAUAAAUGAAAUCAAGGAAGAAAUAUAUUUUAACAAACAAAAAAAAAUAAAAUACUUAGGUUUACGUUAAAUCAUAUUCAUAAAUGCAUAAAUAAAUUUCAUACACAACCCACAUAAAAUAUAUGCGAGGUGUAUGGCGAAUGAAAGAAGCCGAUGGACUUAAAGAAGACGAAAGCUGAUAUUGAUAAUGAUUUAUAAAACAAAAACGAAGUUUCGAGAAAUUCAAAAUGAUUUCUAGGAGUAAAUAUUUAUAUAAUAAACAAGGAAUUAAACUGCGAUUUAAAUUAUUAAGUGAAAUAUUAACUCUCCCAACCUAAAAAACAAAAACUCACCACGUACUCUGUUGAAGCCCAAAGGAUUAAUAGCAGACCUCAAACAUAUAACACGAAUACCACAACAACAAAACAACAAAAAACCGAACCAACCGUAAAAUGUGUGAAAGCAUAAAUCCUUAUAACUUUACUUACAAAAUAGUAAAAUCAUGUAUUUACUCAUAAUUCAAAAUAAUAUCGAUAACAACAAAAAGUUUACUCAUAAUUCAAAAUAAUAUCGAUAACAACGCAAACUGUAAACAAAAAUGCCGAAAAAAUAUAGUGAAGCAGCUGUUGAACAAAAUCGAAUCCACCGAAAAACCUGUGCAUCUACAUAAGUCUGUAUGUACACCGUAUACACUGUGACUGUCGUUUGGCGUGGAUGUCGAGCGCAAAAAAUACGUGUAAAUCGCCUCAACCAGCGUAAAUAAACCGUGUGAACCAACCAACCAACCAACUAGCCACUUUGUUGUUCACCUUAAUUUGCAAAGCCAACCGUAAACAAACAGAAAACCUCUACAAUAUACAUACAUACAUAAUUCUCUACUACUUACAUAAUAUGUGUGUUGUUGAAACAAAAAAUAAGUAGAACAAAAAACUGAAAAUUUUAAAACUUUUUUUGUAUUAUUGAAUGAAUGUUUGUAAAUCAUGUUAAAGCAAUGAAAACAAAAACCGAAAACCACCAAAAUAUAAAAUUUGCUCGACUAAUCACUUGCUCCAUCUACUACUGUGUUACUCCAACUACAAUUCAACUGCCACCACCACCACCACAUCACCAUGACCUCAGCAGCCACAAUAUCAAUUUCCAGAAAUAUAAAGGGUGUAAUCAAGCGAGAAAAGUCCCAUUGAAUGAAAUUGUGCAAAAAAGUGGCCGCCUACGACGUUUGGGUCACUUCAGCCGCAACUACACUGUGGGCGCUUGGCAGUAGAAGGCAUGCAGCGCACAGCCGCAACAGAUCAAAGUGGAAUCGGAGCGCAGCAAGCCGUGGCGCUUAUUUAUACAUACAUACCUAAUCGUACGACUUCAAAAAGCAAAUAACUAACAUCAAUUAUAAUCCUAGACUACUUGAAUGCUAAAGUUACAUAUGCAGUUACAGCAUUUAUAAUUCACGUGUAUUAAAGUUUGUAAACAAACGCAGGCACCAAUGCAUGGACACUAACACCAGCGCAAAGCUCGGAGCAAACUGCACACACACGCUUUAUUAUUCUCAAUGAAAAUGCUUAAAAACAUGCAUACGGGUAUUACGUAACAGCCGAUCUGCAAUAAAAUAUAAAUGUUUGUUUGUUUUCUUAGCUUACCUACACACACAUAUUUGCGUAUAUACAUACAUACAUAUGUGCGAUUGAAAUGCUAUUUUAUACUUAAAUUUUAUCGAAUUAUGUUUUAUAAACGCGCAUAAUAUGUGCGCACAUGCGCAGGAUUAGUUUUAUUUAUGUUAUUAGUUUAUUGUUGAGGUUACUUCAUUUGUAUCGCACACAAAAUGGUGUCUAAUUGUAAUUAUGUUUAUAAAUUGUAAGCGCUCCGUUGCGUUUUUGUUCCUUUGAACGCAAAAUAUUUGUAAAAAAAAUCAUGUAAUUUUCAUAGUGAAACUUUUGGAACACACUCACACACAUAUAUACUUAUAUAUAUGAUUGUAUGUUUAACAGAUGCUGCCAGUAAAUGUACUAAAUGCAUGGUUAGUUUAUAAAAAUACUAUAUUUUGUACAGUCAAGUGCAAAGGCGGUCGAUUCGUUUUUAAACCACACCGGAAGUGAAAAAUAUCCAGAACUUAACCCAACCUACCGUCUCUACAAUAAGCUGUCAUAUUGAUUGCACCUUAUCAGUGCAAUUUCGAGUAUACACAUUUAGUUUGUGGACAUGUAUUUGUGAAAUGAUGUGAUUACUAAAACUAAAAACCUGAAAGACAGCUAGAAUAAUUAUAUAAGAACUUCAAGAGUAGCACAUUUCAGUGAGCUUACUGUGCUAAGUGGCUAUUAGUCCACCAAAUUGGCAACUCAUGGCGCCCAUCAAAGUCCUCUUGAGUCUGAUUUGCAUUUUCGCGCGGUUUUCCUCGCAAAUGUGAAAAAGUAUCUGGGUGUAAGAAGCAAAAUUCAAUUGUUUAGUAUCAAGCAUACGUCAGCUUUCUUGAAGCACUCGAAGGGCUAAAUUUAUUGCGUAUAUAUCAUGUUUUUUGCACAACCGCCCUACUUUUGAAGUGCAGAGAAAUUCUUUAAAAUUUAUUAAAU